GAUGAACGCUGGCGGCGUGCUUAAGACAUGCAAGUCGAACGGAGUGUGUAGCAAUACUCACUAAGUGGCGAAUGGGUGAGUAACACGUAGGUGACCUGCCCUGAAGUGCGGAAUAACAGUCCGAAAGGAUUGCUAAUACCGCAUGUGGUCCCGGGCGUUAGAGAACCGGGUCUAAAGCAGUAAUGCGCUUCAGGAGGGGCCGU
rnacentral:rRNA from 1 species